GGAUGAGCUCGAGAGCGGAAGAGCUCCAUCACUUAGGAUGAGCUCGAGCUUGCUGAUGGAUUUGGGUGCUAUAAUUACAUUUGUGGGGUGGUCCAUUUUUCCACCAACAUUUUUGAAAGAGACUUGCAUUUUGUAUUUACUUGGAAUUUAUGCUCUUAGAAUCUUGCGGGUCAGAUUUGACCAAUAUUAGCUUUUUCUAAGAAAAAAAAUAAGGAAGCUCAUGUUGGUAUUUUCCGAACCAAAAGCCAUAAAAAGAGACCUUAGAGGAUAAUUGAUUAGAAGGAACACUUUAUUACAGCUCAUACCAGCUUGUCAUUCAUGUUACUCCCAAAGGAUUGGACUUGAAAGGGCCAUGGUACUGCAUGCUUUCAGAUCUCUUUAAAUUUACCUCCUUGUCGCUGGAUUAUUAUGAAUUCAGGCUUUUGAUCUCUCAAGAUGAUGUUUAUUUUAAGCAUGUUGUUAUCAUAUACUACUAUGACAAAUCUUUAUUUGGUUCAUUAAUCUUCGGAACAAAACACCCACCAACUCCAAGUUAAUUUGUGAGCCAACUCGCCCGGCGACAAUAUGAAAAUCUUUUACAUACUUCUUUUGUUUGAGACCAUAAUCUUUCAUGUCGCUCCCUUUUUCUUUUGGUUUGCUUGCGUUGCUUUGCCGUGGUUAUUAGUACAAAGUAGCUACAGUGUUUAGCUUUAGUCUGUAAGCAUUGCAUGUGAAGGCGCAGGCCCUCGUGGGGGCUACAGGCUGCUGAACCAUGUGAUGUUUCCUUGAAAACUCAACAAGAGCAGCUAAGCUCAUGCCCGUGUAGUAGUAAAUAAAAGUAAGCUAAAGAUAUUUUCCACACACUUCCUUUAAUCUUUUAUUCUUUCCGAACCACUGCUAAGUAACCUUGUUUCACUUGUUUUUCUUUGAAAUGCACAUAUAAAUUUAUCCAGAGUUCAUGUCAGAUACUGCAUUCGCCAACAGUAAUGUUUGCUACAAGUUUUCCUGCAAAAAAUAUGUUUGAAUACAUAUACGUUCUUACCUCCAAAAAAAAAAAAGAAGAAGAAAGAUUGCGUGUACGCCUUUUUAAGAUGCAGUAUAGUAUAGCAAGUCCAAUUAAGAGGUAUUAUUGAUCAAUAUUCUAGAAAGUUAUGCAUUAGUUUUUUCUGCUUGGAUGCAAUACAAUGUAUAUCUAGUAUACAUUUUUAUUUUUCCUUUUAUUAUAUUUAUAUGAUCAUAUUAUCUACUUAUAAUUGAAUUACAGCCGAGUUUGUUAAUGCAUUUAUCAUUGAGAGGCAUAUUUAAAUAAGCCUCUUGUUCAUCAUAGGGAGUUUAUUAUUAUUGUUGUUAUUUUUUACAAACUGAGCAAUGCUAAAUUCAUCUCACAAACAACCAUAAGAGUCAGAAAUAGUGUCCGAGAAUCUCUAGAGCCUGGAAUGUGUCUUCCAUGCUGUCGCCAUCGCCAUUUCCAUUGGCCAGGCUUGGCACUUGGAUUUGUGAUAUUGCCAAUUUAAUAUGUGCCAUGGAGGAAUUGCAUGUUGGGUUGGAGUGAAGAACUUGGAUCGUCUUCAGUUAUCCACCGGCUGCUGUGGAUGUGAAGGUUAUGGCAGUGGAUAUAUUCUUUCUUCUCCGACCAUGUUCAGCUUGGUUUUCAGCAGGUCAGGUUGCAUCUCGGAGAAUAUGUCGGGCUAUCGGCAGCGGAGCCAGAGCGGCAACUACCAACAGCAGGCAACACUUUCCUCUUCUUCGUAUAAAGGAAGUAAGAAAUGGAGUUAAGAAGAGAGGAGCCAGAGUGCUUGAUGAUGUUCGGGUAAGGACAGUGGUUUGAGAAUGAAUAUGGGAUCUUUCAGCAACCAGAUGUUAACAGGAAAUAAUAUGAAAGUAUGAUUCUUUUCUUGGGCAAAAUAAAUUAUGAUGAUAUGUUUGCUUUCCAAGUAGUGUCAGGUUUUUGAGGAAGGAAGAUAUCCUUGCAUGUGUAAUGAAGAGGGUCUUGUUAAACUUUUACAGGAGACAUAAAGCAGGACCAGCUAGAAACAAUGUAACCUACAUGCUGUAUAUCAUAAAUCAACAAUCCAUCCACUUCACA